AGUGGGACAGCUGGGUCAAAUGGUGGUUCCAUUCCCAAUUUUCUGAGGAAUCUCCAAACUGUUUUCCAUAGAUGUUCCACCAAUUUGCAGUCCCAGCAGCAAU
rnacentral:pre_miRNA from 1 species